rnacentral:rRNA from 1 species
UAGGGAAUAUUAGUAAUGGGCGAAAGCCUGAACUAGCAACGCCGCGUGUGCGAAGAAGGCCUUCGGGUUGUAAAGCACUUUUUGAGAGGAUGAGGAAGGACGGUACUCUCAGAAUAAGUCUCGGCUAACUACGUGCCAGCAGCCGCGGUAACACGUAGGAGGCGAACGUUAUCCGUAUUUACUGUGCGUAAAGCGCGUGUAGGUGGUUUGGUAAGUAGGGCGUGAAAGCUCCUGGCUCAACUGGGAGAGGCCGUUCUAAACUGCCGAACUAGAGGAUGGUAGAGGGAGG